rnacentral:rRNA from 1 species
GACGAACGCUGGCGGCGUGCCUAACACAUGCAAGUCAGGGAGAAAGAGGUAGCAAUAUCUCGAGUAAACCGGCGAACGGGUGAGUAACACGUAGGUAACCUGCCCUCGAGUUGGGAAUAACUUCGAGAAAUCGAGGCUAAUACCGGAUAAUGCAACGAACCCGCAUGGGUUUGUUGUUAAAGUUCCGCGCAAGCGGAACGCUUGAGGAUGGACCUGCGGCCGAUUAGCUAGUUGGCGGAGAACAGCCCACCAAGGCGACGAUCGGUAGCCGACCUGAGAGGGUGACCGGCCACACUGGGACUGAGAUACGGCCCAGACUCCUACGGGAGGCAGCAGUGAGGAAUAUUGGUCAAUGGCCGAAAGGCUGAACCAGCAACGCCGCGUGAGGGAUGAAGAUCUAAGGA